rnacentral:rRNA from 1 species
CCUACGGGAGGCAGCAGUAGGGAAUAUUGCUCAAUGGGGGAAACCCUGAAGCAGCAACGCCGCGUGGAGGAUGAAGGUUUUCGGAUUGUAAACUCCUUUUGUUAGAGAAGAUAAUGACGGUAUCUAACGAAUAAGCACCGGCUAACUCCGUACCAGCAGCCGCGGUAAUACGGAGGGUGCAAGCGUUAUUCGGAAUCACUGGGCGUAAAGAGCGCGUAGGCGGGAUAGCCAGUCAGAUGUGAAAUCCUAGGGCUUAACCAUAGAACUGCAUUUGAAACUGUUAGUCUAGAGUAUGGGAGAGGUAGGUGGAAUUCUUGGUGUAGGGGUAAAAUCCGUAGAGAUCAAGAGGAAUACUCAUUGCGAAGGCGACCUGCUAGAACAUAACUGACGCUGAUGCGCGAAAGCGUGGGGAGCAAACAGGAUUAGAUACCCGGGUAGUC